rnacentral:rRNA from 1 species
ACGCACGCUGGCGGCGUGCUUAACACCUGCAAGUCGAACGGAAAGGCCCUGCUUUUGUGGGGUGCUCGAGUGGCGAACGGGUGAGUAACACGUGAGUAACCUGCCCUUGACUUUGGGAUAACUUCAGGAAACUGGGGCUAAUACCGGAUAGGAGCUCCUGCUGCAUGGUGGGGGUUGGAAAGUUUCGGCUGUUGGGGAUGGACUCGCGGCUUAUCAGCUUGUUGGUGGGGUAGUGGCUUACCAAGGCUUUGACGGGUAGCCGGCCUGAGAGGGUGACCGGCCACAUUGGGACUGAGAUACGGCGCAGACUCCUACGGGAGGCAGCAGUGGGGAAUAUUGCACAAUGGGCGGAAGCCUGAUGCAGCAACGCCGCGUGCGGGAUGACGGCCUUCGGGUUGUAAACCGCUUUCGCCUGUGACGAAGCGUGAGUGACGGUAAUGGGUAAAGAAGCACCGGCUAACUACGUG